GUCUGUGAAGACAAAAGGUCAGAACCAGAGAGCAGAGUCUCCAGGACCCAGCGGUCUAUCUGUGAAGAGUGACCAGUCUAUGGACAAACCUUUAACCUUCAGUCAUGAACCUGGAGCCUCAGAGACAAACCGGACAUGAGAGCUUCAGCACAGGAAUGAUAAUAGAACGCUUCCAUAGCUCUGGAACAACAGGAUUCUCUGUCAGUUUUUCAGAUUGCACAGAAAGCAUCAUGAAGUUCAGGAGAGCAGUUUUUUAGCACAGAGGCUGAGAAACCAUCAGGUCCUGUAGAUUUCUGACUACCGUCAUGUCUAAAUGCUGACUGUACCUGUAGAGCAGGGCCGUCACACUCUAAUGACCUGGGGGCCAACGAGCGUCUAUUCUGGUCAAGAGGGGGCCGGACUACGGAACAUAGAGUCGUCAAAAAACAAGUGUUCAGUAGCACGAGCUUCAAGUUAAAACACAAUCUUGCAUCAUGAUAUCACACGUAUACUUUGUGAUACUGUUUAUGAUGCAAAAUCAAUCUGUUCAUAUCAAAUACACAUUUAUUUCAAAUGACGCAAAUAAUAAUGUGGAUGUCGGCAGAGCAAGGUCAUACAGCGGCGACACGUGGCGAACCCAGAUCAGCACAAACUUAAAGGAAAAGAAAGAAGACGCUCUUCUCCAUCACUCUGCUCCACGCUCAUGAACUGCAAUCAGACGCAGCUUUGAUUGAACAUGCUCAGUAUCACAGGUGGCUCGUCACUUUCACACAUGAAGUUUGCCCAACAUCAAUAAACAAUCAAUACAAAUAAACAAAGAAUAACUGAG